rnacentral:sRNA from 1 species
ACAGCUCACUGGGAGAAGUUCAUGGCCACACUGGGUCCUGAAGAGGAGGCUGAGAAGGCCCAGGCGGACUUUGUGAAGUCGGCUGUCAGGGAUGUCCGCUACGGGCCCGAGUCCCUCAGCGAGUUCACCCAGUGGCGGGUGCGGAUGAUCUCUGAGGAGCUGGUGGCCGCCAGCAGGACCCAGGUGCAAAAGGCUAACAGCCCAGAGAAGCCCCCAGAAGCUGGAGCUGCCCACAAGCCCAGGGCCAGACUGGCGGCCUUGAAACGGCCAGACGAUGUCCCACUCAGCCUCUCUCCCAGCAAGCGGGCGUGUGCCUCCCCGUCGGCCCAGGUGGAGGGCGGCCCUGUGGCAGGCUCCGAUGGCAGCCAGGUGAGCUGAGGUGGCAAGGAGCAGGUGGCAGAUGAGUCGGGGCUGGGCAGCCGUGACCCUUCUCUCCCCCCACAGCCUGCCAUGAAGCUGGAGCCCCUGCACUUCCUGCAGUGCCACAGCAAGAACAACAGCCCCCAGGACCUCGAGACCCAGCUGUGGGCCUGUGCCUUCGAGCCGGCCUGGGAGGAGGGUACAUGGUGGCGGGCAGGCGGGGCAAGGGCCGCUGGAAAUAGGGCCGCCUGGAUGGGUGGGGGAUCA